AGGCAAUUCACUGCAAUAAUUAAAAAAAAACUGUUGAUCUGUUAUGAAUGCCAUUAUUAUUAUUAAUGUAACUGAGUAUCUUUUGUACUAAUGCUAGCUCUGUCUUCUGUUUGGUUUCUGGUGGACAUGAUGACCAUCAUAUUUACCCAUCAAUUCAGAUAAGUACGUGAUGGGACUGAAAGUGGAAGUUAGAAGUCUGGAAAAUCUGUCAGAGUCUCAGAUUAAAGAGCUGGUGAUUAUACAGCUUCAGGAAGAAUUGAUCAGACAAGGACUACCCAGCAACUUCACCAUGCAUUUGAGAAGCUAUCGUAAAACCAGUCCAUAAGAGAAAAAGGAGCAUUCCAGGACAUUAAAAAUGGUUUGGGUUUCAAGUUUUAUCAAACUGUUACUGAACAUCUGCAUCUUGCAUGUUCUUGCUACUGGUAACUGAUAUUCUGCACUGUACACGAUAUUACAAAAAAUAAAAAUAAAUAAAUAAAUACAUGAUCGCUGCAAUGAUUUGUUAAUUCAGCCCAAGGCACUGGGAUAGGCUCCAGUAUAUCUGUGACCCGACAGGAUGGUUUGGGAAAUGGAUGGAUGGAUGAUUUGUUGACAUGUUCAUAAACCUAUAUGGUAACCCAAACAUCAUAAUAAAUCAGCUGUUUUGCACUUCUGAAAUACAAUUUUAUUUGUCUACAGUAAUGGAAUGUUACAGUACAACAACAUACAGUGGAACAACCAGAUGAAGACAUGACUUACAGAUCAUAUGACACACUUUCAGAAUAAAUGGGACUGGAGGAAGUGUUACUGUAUAUGCGGGUGGCAGGAAUAAUAUGCUUCAGUCAUAAGUUUCCUUUAGAUUUUUUUUUUUUUUUUUUUUUUUUUUUAUUAGAAAUGUUGCAUAUCUGUUUUAUGGACUAUGUGGUAUUUUAUAUGAUAUUAUUUGAAGGUUUAUCAUGCAUUUUAAUAAGUAAUCACACAAAUGUGGAUUUCUUUCUUUAGUUCUGAACCUUAAAAGACCACUGGUGUUGACCAAAUGAACAGUUUAGUUAAUAAAAUAAAAAAAAUCUGAAACAUCUAAACACCCUGUCAUUGAGAAUAAUAACAAAUUAAUCAGGAUAAUUUUGUGACUGACACAGUGAUUUACAAAAUGGGGAGCUACUGUAGAUAAUAUCUUGUGUGUAUUUGUCUGUGUGUGAAGGAUACGGUAUGCAACAAGCUUUUCCUUUUAUUUUGCAAUUUGCAUUUUAAAGUCAAUGUAAUUUCUAUCUACUGUAAGCACAUUUGUGACCCUAGACAUCAAAACCAGUCUUAAGUGUCAAUUUUUCAAAAAUGAGAUUUA